rnacentral:rRNA from 1 species
CGUCUGAUUAGGUAGUCGGCGGGGUAACGGCCCACCGAGCCAUCGAUCAGUAGGGGUUCUGAGAGGAAGGUCCCCCACAUUGGAACUGAGACACGGUCCAAACUCCUACGGGAGGCAGCAGUGAGGAAUAUUGGUCAAUGGGCGCGAGCCUGAACCAGCCAAGUAGCGUGCAGGAAGACGGCCCUAUGGGUUGUAAACUGCUUUUAUGCGGGGAUAAAGUCGGCUACGCGUAGCCGUUUGUAGGUACCGCAUGAAUAAGGACCGGCUAAUUCCGUGCCAGCAGCCGCGGUAAUACGGAAGGUCCGGGCGUUAUCCGGAUUUAUUGGGUUUAAAGGGAGCGCAGGCCGAUGGUUAAGCGUGACGUGAAAUGUAGCCGCUCAACGGCUGAGUUGCGUCGCGAACUGGCUGUCUUGAGUGAGUUCGAUGUGGGCGGAAUUCGUGGUGUAGCGGUGAAAUGCUUAGAUAUCACGAAGAACUCCGAUUGCGAAGGCAGCCCACAAGGCCUUUACUGACGCUAAAGCUCGAAGGUGCGGGUAUCGAACAGGAUUAGAUACCCUGGUAGUCCGCACGGUAAACGAUGGAUGCCCGCUGUUUGCGAUAUACAGUAAGCGGCCAAGAGAAAUCGUUAAGCAUCCCACCUGGGGAGUACGCCGGCAACGGUGAAACUCAAAGGAAUUGACGGGGGCCCGCACAAGCGGAGGAACAUGUGGUUUAAUUCGAUGAUACGCGAGGAACCUUACCCGGGCUUGAACUGCAGCGGAAGGAUACAGAGAUGUUGACUCCCUUCGGGGCCGCUGUGGAGGUGCUGCAUGGUUGUCGUCAGCUCGUGCCGUGAGGUGUCGGCUUAAGUGCCAUAACGAGCGCAACCCUUUUCGCCAGUUGCCAUCAGGUGAUGCUGGGCACUCUGGGGACACUGCCACCGUAAGGUGUGAGGAAGGUGGGGAUGACGUCAAAUCAGCACGGCCCUUACGUCCGGGGCUACACACGUGUUACAAUGGGUGGUACAGAGAGCCGGCGGCCCGCAAGGUCCGUCCAAUCAAGAAAGCCAUCCUCAGUUCGGAUUGGGGUCUGCAACCCGACCCCAUGAAGCUGGAUUCGCUAGUAAUCGCGCAUCAGCCAUGGCGCGGUGAAUACGUUCCCGGGCCUUGCACACACCGCCCGUCAAG